rnacentral:rRNA from 1 species
AGAACGAACGCUGGCGGCAGGCUUAACACAUGCAAGUCGAACGCUCGUAGCAAUACGGGAGUGGCAGACGGGUGAGUAACGCGUGGGAACAUACCCUCCGGUUCGGAAUAGCUCAGGGAAACUUGGAUUAAUACCGGAUACGGCUGAGAGGCGAAAGAUUUAUCGCCGGAGGAUUGGCCCGCGUUCGAUUAGCUUGUUGGUGAGGUAACGGCUCACCAAGGCGAUGAUCGAUAGCUGGUCUGAGAGGAUGAUCAGCCACAUUGGGACUGAGACACGGCCCAAACUCCUACGGGAGGCAGCAGUGGGGAAUAUUGGACAAUGGGCGCAAGCCUGAUCCAGCCAUGCCGCGUGGAUGAUGAAGGCCUUAGGGUGUAAAGUCCUUUAACGGGAAGAUAAUGACGGUACCCGUAGAAUAAGCCCCGGCUAACUUCGUGCCAGCAGCCGC